rnacentral:rRNA from 1 species
GACGAACGCUGGCGGCGUGCUUAACACAUGCAAGUCGAACGGUAAGGCCCUUCGGGGUACACGAGUGGCGAACGGGUGAGUAACACGUGGGUGAUCUGCCCUGCACUUCGGGAUAAGCCUGGGAAACUGGGUCUAAUACCGGAUAGGACUCCGGACUGCAUGGUCGGGGGUGGAAAGCUUUUGCGGUGUGGGAUGGGCCCGCGGCCUAUCAGCUUGUUGGUGGGGUGAUGGCCUACCAAGGCGACGACGGGUAGCCGGCCUGAGAGGGUGACCGGCCGCACUGGGACUGAGAUACGGCCCAGACUCCUACGGGAGGCAGCAGUGGGGAAUAUUGCACGAUGGGCGCAAGCCUGAUGCAGCGACGCCGCGUGAGGGAUGACGGCCUUCGGGUUGUAAACCUCUUUCAGCAUCGACGAAGCGAAGGUGACGGUAGGUGCAGAAGAAGGACCGGCCGACUACGUGCCAGCAGCCGCCGUAA